CUUAACAAAUGUUUAUUGGGAACAUGUAUGUGCGAUAUCAUGAAAGUGAAGAUAGAGGGUCUCAGUUGCCUUGGAACUUCUGGUCCUGUGGGAAAACACAGGACUUAGGUAACGUGAAGCCAGCAUGACUCUUAUAAUGUCAGCUCUAUCUCUAGAACAAGGGCAUUAGAUCGGUGGGACUCAGAGCAGCAGAGGACUGGAGUUUGGAGGGGACUCUUGCACCUAAGACUGUGUAAAGUCUGCCCCUACAACUGUUGCAGCUUUGCAGAAAUGCUGGAGGCUUCACAGAAAGAGAGACUAAGAAAGACUGAGGACUGUUAAGCAUGCCCUAUCCUAUUAUCAAACACUUCACUCCAGGGAGAUUAGGACACAGACGUAUACCGAGGGAAGGCCAAGUAAAAAGGAAGGAGAAGGCCAUCCACAAGCCAAGAAGAGGGGUUCCAAUGAAAUGAACCCUGCUGACACCUUGUUCUCAGACUUCCAGGCCCCAGAAUUGUGAGAAAAUAAAUUUUUGUUCAUUAAGUUACCCAGUCUCUGGUACUUUGUUAAGUCAGCCCUACCAAACUUAUACAGCAUUGUUAGCUCUUACUAAGUGACUCCAUUUUUAUAAAAAGAUAUCAAACUAAUCUGUAUUGUCUGCCUAGAUACUUGCCUAUUUAAAAAGUGACAUAAACUAGCCCCAUAAUGAACACCCUUU
rnacentral:lncRNA from 1 species